rnacentral:rRNA from 1 species
CUCCUACGGGGGCAGGCAGUGGGGAAUAUUGGACAAUGGGCGAAAGCCUGAUCCAGCAAUGCCGCGUGUGUGAAGAAGGUCUUCGGAUUGUAAAGCACUUUCGACGGGGACGAUGAUGACGGUACCCGUAGAAGAAGCCCGGCUAACUUCGUGCCAGCCGCCGCGGUAAUAC